UGUCUCCACAACUGCUCUUUCAGAGCUGUUUGUUCCAGCCAACCAGAGGCCUUCAGUACAGGUUUAACCAUGCCAAGGCUCUGCUGGCAAUAGAUCCCAGCAUGUGUGAACCUUUGGCCUGCUGCGAGCCAAAUAGAAAAAGGCCAGGACUCACUCAUGUGUGGAUUCCUGGGCUUCUCAGCAUGAUACACGCAGUGCUCUGAAGUACACCUCUCUUGCAUGGCUCCCAAGAUUCCAUCUUUACAUCGAAGCACACUUGCUGAAGAGCAUUGAGUGUCUGGCCCAACCCAGCCCAGCUCCUGAAUAAAAACCAUCUAUCCCAGCCCUCAGGAGGCUGAGGCAGGAGGACCAGGAGCUCAAGGCCAGCCUGGGCUAUAUAGCAAGACCCCGCCUUAGAAAGGAGGAGAGGAAAAUGUUUAAUGAUUUCCGUAUGUUGCUACCCCAGCCUGACUCUGUGAUUUUCCAUGUCCUUUCUGGAAUACUUUUUCUUGUCUUCUAAGAAACAAUCUAAUAAAAGAAAACCUGUAGCUCUGAA